UCAGAAUCUAGUAAUCUAACAAUACUAAAAGUUAAAUAACUAGAGCAAAGAGAGUGUCCACGUAUACAAAUUAAUUCAACCAAUGAAGAACCACAAUACUGCUACGUAAUAUUAACCUUCUCUUUUGACAUAUUAGACUUGGGUCAAUCAUGUGGGCUUCGACAAAAUCAAUAAAGGCCAACACUAACAAACCCAACUAUGAAAACUUAAUAAAUAUCGUACAUUCACACACACGAUUGUCGUCUCCGUUUCUUUCACUUCGUCUUCACCGUUCAGAUCAAUGCAACUCUUCGUUUCUAAUCAGUAUUUAUCACCACCCCACUAUCAAUCAUUCAAAGCUGGUCAUUACUCCUUAUCUUCCUCGGAGAUGGUUUCGUUCCAACUCCUUUUCUGGCUCCUCCUAUAUAUAUUGUUUCGUUAAAUCUUAGAUCAAACCAAAAUCUCCACCUUCAGCACAAAAAAAGAAGAAAAUAAGCUAUAGCCAUAAAAUCUGCUAAAGCCAUCGAAAUGACUAGAGUUGAUCUAAACGUCUUUUCAUCUUCUGCUGCCGACACGGAGUCUGAUCCAAGUGUUAUAAACGGCUUGAAACCCUUAUCCUUUCGUCAUCGGGAUCGAUGACGGAUCUACCCAGUACAAACUACGCUGUCAUCGCCAAAACGAAUCAAAACAGCUGCUGAACAAGUUGUGCGCUUCUGGAGGAGGUUUGAUGGAUUGAUGCUAAAGCCAUUGUUCCAGUAUAGGCUAAGAUGACUUCUAAUAUUAUUGACAUAACAGAGGGACGCGACAUCUUUCGCACCUGCGGCUCGGAUCAUGAAUAUAUGGAAACACAAUCGUAUCUCUAACAGUUUCUUCUUCCUCUGCUCUCUUAAAACACUGAGGAACAGGAGAAUGCUAGAAAUAGAUCUAUUGUUGUUUAGAGCACAGUAGAUUUAGGUUCAUGUAUGUUGAGGUCACCAACAAAUUGAACAAGUACAAUUCCAAAAUUUAACAUCUUGGGGGUAGAGGCGGAUGGAAGUUAUAGGUUGUUGAAACGAGAGAGCUGCUGAAGAAGGAUUUAACAAAUGAGACAAAGAUCCGCUAAAGAAGGUAAAUGGAUUGAUUUCCUAUCUAGGCAAUGCAAAUGUGAUUUCUGGAGAAGCUUCUUGGGCUUUUAAUCAGUCAUCUUUGAGAACUGGAAAGGAGAAAGAGCCUUUGAAACUGAAGGUAUGGUGGAGUGCAACUAUGAUGCUACUUCCAAAAUAACUGGUGGAUGGAUUUUACGUGGUCAUCUUGGCGUAGCUCUCAGGGGAAAACAUGAUCGGCUUUAGAGGCAGAAGCAAUGGUGCUACUCUUAAUCAUUCCAAAGGCCAUGUAUUAUCUCACCUCCUCCACCAAGCGCAUGCUUAUGAGAUCAUGAAUGUGAGCAACAAUAUCAAAUGGUGGGGCUCAAGAAUGUUACCGGUAAAAAGAUGUUGUGUUGUUCUUCGUUCUCUCAAUCACAUAGCACAUCAUAAUCCUCUUUGUAUGUAUAAAUAGUUUAGAUAAAUAUCAGAUACUUUAAAACA